AUCCUGGCUCAGGAUGAACGCUAGCGGCAGGCUUAACACAUGCAAGUCGAGGGGCAGCAUAAUGGAUAGCAAUAUCUAUGGUGGCGACCGGCGCACGGGUGCGUAACGCGUAUGCAACCUACCUUUAACAGGGGGAUAACACUGGAGAAAUUGGUACUAAUACCCCAUAAUAUCAUAGAAGGCAUCUUUUAUGGUUGAAAAUUCCGAUGGUUAGAGGAUGGGGCAAUGCGUUGUAUUAG
rnacentral:rRNA from 1 species